rnacentral:rRNA from 1 species
ACCGCUGAGGUUGGCUUUUACCCAGUCUAGAAAGCUGGGGGAAUAAGGAGAGGGCAAGUCUGGUGUCAGCCGCCGCGGUAAUACCAGCUCUCCGAGUGGUGUGGACGUUUAUUGGGCCUAAAGCAUCCGUAGCUGGCUGAACAAGUCCCCUGUUAAACCCACCGAUUUAAUCGUUGGUCUGCGGGGGAUACUGCUCGGCUAGGGGACGAGAGAGGCAGACGGUAUUCCCGGGGUAGGGGUGAAAUCCUAUAAUCCCGAGAAGACCACCAGUGGCGAAGGCUGUCUGCUAGAACGCGCCCGACGGUGAGGGAUGAAAGCUGGGGGAGCGAACCGGAUUAGAUACCCGGGUAGUCCCAGCUGUAAACGAUGCAAACUAGGUGUUUGGACGGCCACGUGCCGUUCUAGUGCCGCAGGGAAGCUGUUAAGUCUGCCGCCUGGGGAGUACGAUCGCAAGAUUGAAACUUAAAGGAAUUGGCGGGGGAGCAC